rnacentral:tRNA from 4 species
GGCCAGGUAGCUCAGUUGGUAGAGCGUCCGCCUGAAAAGCGGAAGGUCGGCGGUUCGACCCCGUCCCUGGCCA